rnacentral:rRNA from 1 species
UACGUAGGGGGCAAGCGUUGUCCGGAUUUAUUGGGCGUAAAGAGCGUGUAGGCGGCCGUACAGGUCAGCUGUGAAAACUCGAGGCUCAACCUCGAGACGUCGGUUGAAACCGUACGGCUAGAGUCCGGAAGAGGAGAGUGGAAUUCCCGGUGUAGCGGUGAAAUGCGCAGAUAUCGGGAAGAACACCCGUGGCGAAGGCGGCUCUCUGGGACGGUACUGGACGCUGAGACGCGAAAAGCGUGGGGGGAAGCGAAACAGGGAAUUUAGAAAAACCCCCGUGUAGUCCCAGACCCAA